UUAUCCGAGUUCUUGACUAUAAUAUUGACGCUAGAAGAAAGGUCACCUCCCACCCACGCCCACAGAAUCUCUCUUGACUUGGAGGCUACUGUUGUAGAAGGAUGGUACCUUUAGUCCCACAUCAGUUGUAAGUAAAGAGAGACUCUGACUUAUAUAAGAUCAAGACAUUCUCUUCCUUAAUAACAUGCCUUUUAUAUAGGACAAAACCAUGCGGCCCA
rnacentral:lncRNA from 1 species